AAGCCAGCCUGUUAGUCCGCUUACCUAAAUGUGUACAUGCAGAGAUUUAGAUAAAGCUGGCAAUAAGAGUGCCAUGAUAUGAGCCUUAAGGAAAAUCAAUGCCAUUAAAGUCCCCUGAGAAUGACUGCAACA